UCGAGCGAGUCUGCCUUGAAGAUCGGAGUGCUUGCACUCUGUGAAACAAGAUACAGGCUAGCGGCGGACGGGUGAGUAACACGUGGGUAACCUGCCCAAGAGAUCGGGAUAACACCUGGAAACAGAUGCUAAUACCGGAUAACAACAGAUGAUGCCUAUCAACUGUUUAAAAGAUGGUUCUGCUAUCACUCUUGGAUGGACCUGCGGUGCAUUAGCUAGUUGGUAGGGUAACGGCCUACCAAGGCGAUGAUGCAUAGCCGAGUUGAGAGACUGAUCGGCCACAUUGGGACUGAGACACGGCCCAAACUCCUACGGGAGGCAGCAGUAGGGAAUCUUCCACAAUGGACGCAAGUCUGAUGGAGCAACGCCGCGUGAGUGAAGAAGGGUUUCGGCUCGUAAAGCUCUGUUGUUGGUGAAGAAGGACAGGGGUAGUAACUGACCUUUGUUUGACGGUAAUCAAUUAGAAAGUCACGGCUAACUACGUGCCAGCAGCCGCGGUAAUACGUAGGUGGCAAGCGUUGUCCGGAUUUAUUGGGCGUAAAGCGAGUGCAGGCGGCUCGAUAAGUCUGAUGUGAAAGCCUUCGGCUCAACCGGAGAAUUGCAUCAGAAACUGUCGAGCUUGAGUACAGAAGAGGAGAGUGGAACUCCAUGUGUAGCGGUGAAAUGCGUAGAUAUAUGGAAGAACACCGGUGGCGAAGGCGGCUCUCUGGUCUGUUACUGACGCUGAGGCUCGAAAGCAUGGGUAGCGAACAGGAUUAGAUACCCUGGUAGUCCAUGCCGUAAACGAUGAGUGCUAAGUGUUGGGAGGUUUCCGCCUCUCAGUGCUGCAGCUAACGCAUUAAGCACU
rnacentral:rRNA from 1 species